rnacentral:rRNA from 1 species
AUUGAACGCUGGCGGCAGGCUUAACACAUGCAAGUCGAGCGGAGAUGAGGUGCUUGCACCUUAUCUUAGCGGCGGACGGGUGAGUAAUGCUUAGGAAUCUGCCAUUUAGUGGGGGACAACAUUCCGAAAGGAAUGCUAAUACCGCAUACGUCCUACGGGAGAAAGCAGGGGAUCUUCGGACCUUGCGCUAAAUGAUGAGCCUAAGUCGGAUUAGCUAGUUGGUGGGGUAAAGGCCUACCAAGGCGACGAUCUGUAGCGGGUCUGAGAGGAUGAUCCGCCACACUGGGAGAGAGACCCGGCCCAGACUCCUACGGGAGGCAGCAGUGGGGAAUAUUGGACAAUGGACGCAAGUCUGAUCCAGCCAUGCCGCGUGAAGGAUUAAGGUCCUCUGGAUUGUAAACUUCUUUUAUAAGGGACGAAAAAAGGCUUUUCUAAGUCGUCUGACGGUACCUUAUGAAUAAGCACCGGCUAACUCCGUGCCAGCAGCCGCCGUAACAC